ensembl:lncRNA
UAUUUGUUCCUAUCUGUGUGUGUAUAUUCUUUUCUUUGUGUACCUAGCCCCACAGGUGUGCAAUAAACCCAGAGAAAUCCCAGAAACGGUGUUGAACCCAGCACCUUCAACGUCUGGUGACACUGAACCUCAGAAAAGAGUUGACAACAAGAAAGCCAAUCGAAGGUCAACAGAUGCAACUUUUCCUGACCCGUGUGGACCACCGUGCGAAGCUCUGACAAAGCCUGAGAACAUUUUGGCCAGCCGUUCAUCAUGGUGUUUUGUACCGCACCCUGGCCAACAACAGCUUCUCAACUAUGUUCUGGACAUCAGCAGACCCAAAGAUGAGCUGAUUGUUGAAACGUCUUCUGGAUGCCUCACGCGGUCAGAUUUUUGGACACUGGGUUUAAACAAAGAAAUGGAAUCGACUGUAAGUAUUUUUUUUCUACGAAUAUGAAAAAAUAAAGUGUACAUUCAUUGUUAUCAUGAUUUUUUUCUGUUUCAGAUUGGAAAUGGCUGUUUUGAGCUUAUCACUAAAAUUGUUCAGUCAAAGGUACUGUAUGUUGUAUAUGAUGAUUGUCAAGCUUUAAUUUAAAGAGCUGUUGUUUUAAAUGUUUUUUUGUUUUUUUUUUUUACAUUCUAGGGGAUAAGCAUUUACAUCGAAAAUCUGUAUGUCACCCGGACUUGGCUUGCACCCUAUGGCUGUGAUCCAUUGCGGUCCUUUCCUACUGAUGCUCAGAGGAUGGACAUCAUAGUUCUCCCUCUCUGGACACCUGGUCAUUUCCAGUUGUGUGUAAGUCUUGUUUUUUGACACGUACAAACUGUUAGAAUUUUGCUAUGUGUCUGAGAUGUAUUCAAGCUUUUAUGACGCAGUUUCAAAAGUCUUUGACUGUGAUCGCUUGCAAUGACAUUGUUUUCAGGUUUGAAGUCAUGGCUAACUGUCUUUUAGGUACUGAAGCCACCUAAAAGAGAAAUCCUCUUUCUUGACCCAUUAUACACCAAGGCAGGAUUUGGUGGCCAACAAUAUGUUUCACUUUUGAGGUCACAUUUUUAUAAGCAUUUUUGGUUUGUUCCGGAGUUUUCAGGAACCUGUUCAGUGUUCCAGGUUAAGUGCAUCCCAGAUCAUGUUCUGCUGAUCUUGAGUGUUCACACAUACAGUACACUCACAUGCUUUUUCUAUAAACUAUAUCAGCAAGUUUCUGUGUGGAGUUUGCAUGUUCUCCCCAUGUUUGCGUGAGUUCCCUCCGGGUACUCCGGCUUCCUCCCACCGUCUAAAGACAUGCAGCUUGUGGGGAUAGGUUAAUUGGAUAAUCCAAAUUGCCACUAGGUGUGAAUGUGGGAGUGAAUGUGAGUGUGAAUGGUUGUCUGUCCCUGUGUGUUAGCCCUGCGACAGACUGGCGACCUGUCCAGUCUGUCGCCCUAUGACAGCUGGGAUAGGCUCCAGCGCCCCCCGUGACCCUGAAAAGGAUAAGCGGAAGCGAAUGGAUGGAUGGAUGGAUGGAUGGAUGGAUAUAUCAGCAUGAUGCUUCAACAUUUUAUUCUCAUCUUCAAAUUAUGAUCAAGUCAGUGAUACUGUCUGUAGAUGAGUUUCAGACAUAAAUUGGGUCUUCCAGUGUUCUAUUUUAACAUAAAACACCAUUAAAAAUUAUUUUAUAAAAUAUGCCAACAUUAACUUAAAGCUGUAAAUGCUUUAUUUUGACCAACUGUGAGCAUGUGACUGUACUUUUUCAUUUUGUUAUGCUGUUUUUUUGAGGUCGUGUUCCUAAGGCCUGUAGUUACAGUUGGUGCUAUUAGCAAUAAACAUUUCACACCCAUCAUGAUCAUCAUCUGUUAACUUGUGAAUGUAACUGUUUUUUUUAAAAAAAAAAGGAAUCUUGCAGUGAAGAUCAUUCCCGGGCAGUGGUCAGAAAAAAAGAGCUGUGACUUGAAGGUAUGUGCUAGUUUAAGUGUAUGGUGAAUAAUAUGAAUUACACUAGUCUUCUUUUAAGGGAUUUUAUUAAAGAGCCUUUAUUUUCAAUGUAAUACAGGGUUUUCCAAGCCAAGACUAUGGAGUUGACUGUGGGAUCUUCAUGCUGAUGGUAAUUUGUCUCUUCUCUUCUUGAGAUUCAUACAGAAGCUAAUUUAAGCUUCUAAAGAAAAAUGACAUUUUUAUUUUUUCUUACAAAUAGUCUGCUCUGUACGUGGCACUGGAUGCUUCAUUUGACUAUACUAUAGUAAGUAUUCUAUUUACUUUCACAGCAAUGGAGUCUUGAAUCUUUUGAAAGUUGUUAAAUAUGUUUCAUAUUAAUAUUUUACAGUCAGACAUGCCCUACUUGCGUAAAUGGUGGUGCUUGCUGUUGAUGGAGAACUUUGAUCUCAGGAGCUCUGGCAAGCUAUUUGCACACUGGAGAGAGGAAGCCAAAGCUGUGCUUGAAGGACAACACGUGCCCAUUUUCAGAGUGAAAAAGCGCAAGUUACAGGAAGUCAGUCAGGAGCCAGCAGUUGUUGCAGAUCUGCGUCCUGCUGUGCAGUGGGUUGUCCAAAAUAAGGCACUUUUCCGUGGACACGUAACAAUGCCCAAAUAUGUGUCCUUAAAUCAAGGAGACCAGCAGAGGGUCUUAAGAGACAUGUCAGAGGAAGAAGACACUGGAGCAAGGGACUUGUUCCUCUUUGUUUUUCAGUUUGCAGAGGACAUGGAGCUCUUUUUGAAUGCAUGUGCUGAUGAGCAGGGGCUAAGGGUCAGUGCUAUGUUUGACAUGUGAUGGACAAAUGAAGGCACUGGCUGUGUUUGUUUGUUUGUUUAAUAUGUUGUUGUUGUUGUUGUUUUUGCGUAGUACAAAAUUCCUAUUAAACUUAUUUCAAAAUGUUGUUCACUUGAUUCUGUGUCCAUACUUAUAAUAAAGGAUUACAGUGUAACAGCAUUAAAUGUAAAAGCAUUUUUUUUAAACUUGUAAUUUCAAAAUAAAAAGCUUAUUGUUGAUAUUAACAGUAAAUAA